GAGAAGCUCUCAGAGCUGCAUCAUUUACAACGCAAAAACCUGGAAAUGGCCCAGCAUAACAGGAUUGCGAAAAUCCGGAUGUUAACUCGGCCUUCCUGCUACGGAGUUAGGCUGCGUCCAGCUGGCCCCGGGCAGCGAAGCUUCGGCCUAACAAACUCCAAAGGUGGCUGCUGGGAGCUCCGGGUCCAGCUCAGGGGUCCUUCCUCUCUGCGGACCCCAGCAAUGGAAGAACACCCACCCUCCAUGGCUGCACACCUGGAGCACUGGAGGGGGAGCCUAGACGCGUGGAGAGCUGUGGAGGACCACCGCAGACACCCUCACCCAAGGGCACCCACCCUGGCGCUGGUGACACCUGGGAGCCAGUGACGGGACGGGAAGGCAGCAGCAGCAGCAGCACCUCCUGAAGCCCCCCAGCACUUUCCAUGUUGGGGAGGAGAUCCAUAUGCAGGUAAAUCAAACUGCUUGAGUUCCUCACAUUCGAGAUUCUCCUCCUUAUCUGUUCUGCUCUUUCUCUCCCUCCCCAAAACCCGCAGGAACAUCUCUGGAGAUGAGAAUUUCUGAUGACACAUUUUCCCAUGUUCUCUGUAGCUCCCUCAAUUAGAUUAUACUCCCAGUUAAUACAUUAAAUGACCUUUCAUUUCCACUAGCAUGCCAGGCCUGCUGUUUAACAAGCUAACCCCUGGGGAAUCAUGGGCUGGGCUUGGAUCCUGGGGGGUGGGGUGGGGGAGGGGGCAGGGCAGUCUGUCCUGCUGAGCACAUUUGCCCUGAGGAGACCUGGGACCAGGACAGGUCAGAAACCUGGGGAAUCUGAGAAAUCCAAGGC
rnacentral:lncRNA from 1 species